ensembl:lncRNA
CUGCUAACUUCCCUCUGGGAUUUAUUUGUGUUUGUUGCCAGGGUUUAUAUCCUGAUGGGUGCCAGAUGACAGACUCCUCCACAUUUCAGUAGGACUGACAGGAACCACAUGAUGGAUAUCUCAGGAGGUGGAGAUUGCAAAAGUUCUUUAUCAAUAAGUUGCCAGCCAUCAUCUCAAGAGUCUAGAUUUGCUACUUGAAAUAUGCAGCAUAUGAAAUGUGAAAACGACGUGUCAUAUUGCAUCCUAAUUAGAAAUGGUGAGAAGAGGAAUUACUCUGAAGAGGUUCUAGCUUUAAGUGGAGGCCAACAGCAGCCUAAAGUCUGCCAGCUCACCUGGGAGGAUGCCUGUCAGGCAGCAUACACAAGAAGCUGACCUUGCCUGGGUUAGCGCUGCCCUGGGUUAGCAUUGCUUUUAUUAUUUUUUCUUUCCUUGCUUUCACCCAUUUAAACUAAUGCUUAUCUCCUAGUGCUGUACACUAUGUUUUGCAAAAUAAGGUAAACAAACUGUUUCUGUGCCUUAAAAUGCAGAAUGAACGUAGCUUCCAUUUAGGUCAAGUGGAGCUUUACCCUCAAUGACCUGAGAAAAUUGGAUCUGAUGAAAUCCUGCCUAACUUGUUUUUUUUAAAUUAAGAAUGGAACACAAAUAUAUAAUUAGUUGAUACAUGCUAAGGUAUAUAAUUCAAAUGAGAAUGACAUACAUCUGGGAACCAAUGACAAGUGUAGUCAUUCACAUUUCAAUAAAAAUAUAUUUAUUGCCUGUAAUUAGCUCACUUAAUCACUGUUGGACACAUUAAAAGUGUCCUUUAUUUUAAAGCAAGUUAUUAUUCAUUGAAAUUCAAAGGGAAUUGAGCAGCAAACAGUAUCUAGUGUGAUUUGCCUCAUAAUUAAUACACUUAUUCAUUGUGAAAUACAGUUAUAGUG